AAUUAUACUCUUUUAGUUAUUUUUAAAUGCACAAUAAAUUACUGUUGACUGUAAUCAUUCUGUUGUGCUAUCAAAACUUAGGUCUUAUUCAUUCUAACUGUUUUUGUGCCCAUUAACCGACCCUACUUCCCCCUGCAACCACUCUUCCCAGCCUAUGGCAACCAUCAUAUUGUCUACAUGAGUUCAAUUGUUUUAAAUUUAGCUACCACAAAUUAGUGAAAACAUAUAAAAUUAGCCUUUCUGUGCCUGGCUUAUUUUACUUAACAUAAUGUCCUACAGUUCCAUCCAUGUUACUGCAAAUGACAGACUCUCAUUUUUUUUUUUUUUAUAGCUGAAGAGUAUUUCAUUGUGUAGGAUAAAAGAACUGGAAACUACAUAAUGAAUUGCAGAGAGGAGUAUGGUGGAGAAUUAUAGUGUGCCUUGCAUCCGGAGACUAAAUCCCAGUGAAAACUUCUGAGGAGACAUGGCAAAUACUAGAGGGAGGAAGAAGUCAUGAACAACUUGCUGGAUGAGGUUGGUUUUUGUUAUGUUGCUCAAGCUGGUCUCUAACUCCUGGCCUCAAGCAAUCCUCCUGCCCCUGCCACCCAAAGUGGUGGGAUUACAGAAAUGAGUCACCACGCCUGAACCAAUCUUUUUGACUUAUUUUAGAUGAAGUUUCUUGAACUUCUUUCAUGAUGGCUUUAUAAUUUCAUCAAAUUUGGGACAUUUUAAGGUAUUAUUUCUUUGAAUAUUUAUUUUAUUCUUUUCUUCCUCUCUCUAGUAUUUCAAUUAUACAUAUGUUUUUUUCUGCUUAAUAUUUGGCUAUAGUUCUUUGGGAUUAUAUUCAUUUUUCUCAAAUAUUUUUUUCUCCCUCUUUUCUGUGGAUAACAUAAUCUCUAUUAAACUAUAUUCAAAUCUGUUGUUG
rnacentral:lncRNA from 1 species